AUACUUACCUAGUAGGAAGAUACCUUGACCACGAAGGUGGUUUUUUCAGGGCAAUCUCACUCAUUGCACUCCAGAUAUGGUGACCUGUGUGACUGGCUCAGAUGUGGGAGAUUCAAUUGCAUAAUUUGUGGAAAUGGGGCCUUUGUUUGCAUUUCCACUGA